GUCCUUAUCAUACAAAAUAGCUCAGUUGCUUGAGCGUGAAACUUAAUCUCAGGGUCGUGGGUUUGAGCCCCACAUUGGGCA